rnacentral:misc_RNA from 1 species
GUAGGUGAACCUGCGGAAGGAUCAUUAACGAGUAAGGGGCCUCGUGCCCCGGGGGUUUCGGCCCCAACUCUUCACCCACUGCCUACCUACCUCUGUUGCUUUGGCGGGCCUUCGGGUAAAACCGAUGCCGGCCCGGGGAACCUCCCUGGGCUCGCGAGUGCCCGCCGAAGAUCAUUUAAAUUCUGUUUUACGAGUGUUGUCUGAGCUGAUAUACAAUAACUAAAAACUUUCAACAACGGAUCUCUUGGUUCUG